rnacentral:lncRNA from 1 species
AUGGCGCGGAGCGUGGGGCCGGGCAGGGCGCAGAGCUCUCGCUGCAGGCGCUCCGAGGACGCGGCGUCGCCCACCUCCAGGAAGCCGGCCAGCUCCGAGGCGUUGCAGACCACGGCCUUCAGCGGGACGCGGGUGCCCGCGAGGGAGAGCUGGGGCCGGCAGGAGAGGGCGGUGAGGCAAGGGAGCCCCACGCCACCCGCACCCGCCAGCCGCCCGGGCGGCGCGCUCCCUACUCACGACGCGCGGGCUGAGCCGAGCCCCCAGCAGCUCGUCCACCAGUGCCGGCGGCAGGGACGCGUUGGCGCGCAGGAACCGGGCGAAGCUCUCCUCCUCCCUCAGGUAGCCCCUCACGGGCAGGGCUGGCGGGGCGGGAGCGGGGGGUCAGCGCGCAGGGGCCGCGCUCGCCCCCGGGCGCCCGGCCGGCCCGGCCCUGGCGCUCACCCCUCCGCAGAGCCGCGCUGCCCCGGAGCCGGCGCAGGGCGUUCAGGAGCUGGCCCAAGCUGCGCGGGAGCUGCUUCCCCUGGGCGCGGAGCAGCACCUGCCGGGCGUCCGCCAGCAGGCGGGAGAGGCUGCGGGCAGAGGCCGGCGGUGAGAUGGGGUCCCACUGGCCCCCACGUGCCCCCCGGCGCCCGCCACUCACAUGGAGCCGUCGAAGUUCCCCACCACGCCGGGGGCCUCGCCCRCCGUCGGGUAGCGGAAGCAGGGGUUGUUCAUGUUGCAGAUGAUGCCCUGGAUCCAGGGCAGCGUCCCGGCCGACGGCAGGGCCUUGUUGGGGAAGUGGCCUGCCGAGAGAGGGGGAGACGGGUCCCGGAGGGGCAGCAGGGAGCCCCCGGGGCCCCACGCGCCCCUGAGCGGGGAGAGCCCAGCGCGCCCCAGCCCGUGUCCGCCUCCUCACGCCUGUCACCCCCCGCACCACCCAGGCCCUGCCGGGUCCCRCAGGGCUCCAGCGCGAGGGGCAGCACCCGGGCCACGGGGGCCCCUUGCAGCCCGGCACCGGUGGGUCCAAGGGGGCUGGCGCUGGCGCUCACACUCAUGCUGCUUGAACGGCGGGUGGGACUGUCGCACGGAGAUCAAGAUGAAGAAGAGGAAGAGGGGCCACAGGAGCUCAAUGGCCAGCUGGAUCUGGAGGGGGAGACCCACGGUCGGGGCGGAGGGGACGGGAGAGUUCCCCUCUCCAUCGGCACCCAGGGCUCUGCCUGGCCCCCGGCGGCUCUUCAGGAGCCCCCCGGCGCGGGCGCCCAUCUCACCCUCUGCCUCCGCCGGUAG